rnacentral:rRNA from 1 species
UACGUAGGGGGCAAGCGUUGUCCGGAUUUAUUGGGCGUAAAGAGCGUGUAGGCGGUUUGGUAGGUCCGUUGUGAAAACUCGAGGCUCAACCUCGAGACGCCGGCGGAAACCAUCAGGCUAGAGUCCGGAAGAGGAGAGUGGAAUUCCUGGUGUAGCGGUGAAAUGCGCAGAUAUCAGGAAGAACACCCGUGGCUAAGGCGGCUCUCUAGUACGGUACUGACGCUGAGACGCGAAAGCGUGGGAGCGAACAGG